rnacentral:tRNA from 1 species
GGAGAGAUGGUUGAGUGGUUGAUGGCUCCGGUCUUGAAAACCGAUAUAGUUAAAAAACAAUCGAGGGUUUGAAUCCCUCUCUCUCCU